AACGGACGCUGGCGGCAUGCCUAACACAUGCAAGUCGAACGAGAUCUUCGGGUCUAGUGGCGCACGGGUGCGUAACGCGUGGGAAUCUGCCCUUUGGUUCGGAAUAACAGUUGGAAACGACUGCUAAUACCGGAUGAUGACGAAAGUCCAAAGAUUUAUCGCCAAAGGAUGAGCCCGCGUAGGAUUAGCUAGUUGGUGUGGUAAAGGCGCACCAAGGCGACGAUCCUUAGCUGGUCUGAGAGGAUGAUCAGCCACACUGGGACUGAGACACGGCCCAGACUCCUACGGGAGGCAGCAGUGGGGAAUAUUGGACAAUGGGCGAAAGCCUGAUCCAGCAAUGCCGCGUGAGUGAUGAAGGCCUUAGGGUUGUAAAGCUCUUUUACCCGGGACGAUAAUGACAGUACCGGGAGAAUAAGCUCCGGCUAACUCCGUGCCAGCCGCCGCAGUAA
rnacentral:rRNA from 1 species